rnacentral:rRNA from 1 species
UGGGGAAUAUUGCACAAUGGGCGCAAGCCUGAUGCAGCCAUGCCGCGUGUAUGAAGAAGGCCUUCGGGCUGUAAAGUACUUUCAGUCGGGAGGAAGGUGUCAAGGUUAAUAACCUUGGCAAUUGACGUUACCGACAGAAGAAGCACCGGCUAACUCCGUGCCAGCAGCCGCGGUAAUACGGAGGGUGCAAGCGUUAAUCGGAAUUACUGGGCGUAAAGCGCACGCAGGCGGUUGAUUGAGUCAGAUGUGAAAUCCCCGGGCUUAACCCGGGAAUUGCAUCUGAUACUGGUCAGCUAGAGUCUUGUAGAGGGGGGUAGAAUUCCAUGUGUAGCGGUGAAAUGCGUAGAGAUGUGGAGGAAUACCGGUGGCGAAGGCGGCCCCCUGGACAAAGACUGACGCUCAGGUGCGAAAGCGUGGGGAGCAAACAGG